CCUACGGGUGGCAGCAGUGAGGAAUAUUGGUCAAUGGUCGGGAGCCUGAACCAGCCAAGUAGCGUGAGGGAGGACGGCCCUGCGUGUUGUAAACUUCUUUUGUAAAGGAAUAAAGAGUGGCACGUGUGCCUGUAUGUGUGUACUUUAUGAAUAAGGAUCGGCUAACUCCGUGCCAGCAGCCGCGGUAAUACGGAGGAUUCGAGCUUUAUCCGGAUUUAUUGGGUUUAAAGGGAGCGUAGGCGGGUUGUUAAGUCAGUGGUGAAAGUUUGGGGCUCAACCGCUACAUUGCAGUUGAUACUGGCAGCCUUGAGUUCAGUUGAGGUAGGCGGAAUGCGUGGUGUAGCGGUGAAAUGCUUAGAUAUCACGAAGAACUCCGAUUGCGAAGGCAGCAUACUAAACUGCCACUGACGUUGAGGCACGAAAGUGUGGGUAUCAAACAGGAUUAGAUACCCCUGUAGUC
rnacentral:rRNA from 1 species